rnacentral:rRNA from 1 species
UACGUAGGGUGCGAGCGUUGUCCGGAAUCAUUGGGCGUAAAGGGCGCGUAGGUGGCGGGACAAGCGUGCGGUGAAAGCUCGGGGCUCAACCCCGAGUCGGCCGUGCGAACUGUCUUGCUUGAGCACUGUAGAGGCAGGCGGAAUUCCGGGUGUAGCGGUGGAAUGCGUAGAGAUCCGGAAGAACACCGGUGGCGAAGGCGGCCUGCUGGGCAGUUGCUGACACUGAGGCGCGACAGCGUGGGGAGCAAACAGG